rnacentral:rRNA from 1 species
UACGGAGGGUGCGAGCGUUGUCCGGAAUCACUGGGCGUAAAGGGCGCGUAGGCGGCCUGAUAAGUAGGGGGUGAAAUCCUGCGGCUUAACCGCAGGGCUGCCUUCUAAACUGUCAGGCUGGAGCACAGUAGAGGCAGGUGGAAUUCCCGGUGUAGCGGUGGAAUGCGUAGAGAUCGGGAAGAACAUCAGUGGCGAAGGCAGCUCGCUGGGACGUUACUGACGCUGAGACGCGAAAGCCAGGGGAGCGAACGGG